UGACAUUUAACUUGCCUUCCUCCCUCGAAA
rnacentral:piRNA from 1 species